AAUUAAUGGCUUUCACAAAACUGCUACCUUAAUGCUAUAGCUGUGAUGUGUCUGUUGUGUGUUGCUAGCCUUAUCAAGUAGAAAUUGCAUAUUCGCUUUUGACUGUAAUUAUGUUUGUUUAAAUUGUUUUCUAUUAUGAACAAUGUCAUUAUAGGAUCAAAACAGAAACAUUGCUUGGUUACACAAACAAGCACCCUGCAACAUCAAAUAAUGCUUUGUAUCUUUUAGAACUCAGGCUGGAACUAAAAUGUCAUUGUAAUUAAAGUUCUUAGUUUAACUUAUUUUGUUAGAUUUUUUAUUUUUUAUAUUGAGAAUUCAAUAUGUUGUAUUCACAACAAUGUCCACAUUACUACUGUUUAGAUAUUUAAUAUCUGUAGAGACAAACCUCAAUUUAUGAACUGGGAAGAGUAUGGACUAAACAGGGAGUUCAUUUUUGGGCGCAUUGGCACAAUAGGUAAUCAAGAGUACGUAAUAUUAUGCAGAUCUAUAUUGGCACCCAUAAUUGACCAUCCAAAUCAUGGCAAGAUGCACCCAUGCACUAACCCAGUCAAUCUAUCAGGAAAGUAUAAUAGCAAAUGCACCCAUUGGAGUAGCCUGCACUCUUUAAUCUAUACCUUUCUGAUGCUGGAAACACCCCUUGGACUGAGGAUAGUGCCUGUGCCAGUGGAGGGUAUAGACACAAUGCUUCCUUAUAUAUCCAACCGUAUACUGUCCAUGUGACAUUGUCUGAUGUGAUAGCAUUAUUGAAGUAUCCUAAUCCUUUAUUAAGUUAUCAGCUGGUACACAAUCAUUAAUUGAAUCAUUUGGAACAAAAAAUAUUAGAGUAUAAAUACUCCAUUAUCUAUGAUUUGUAUACUCUGAGGCAAGUGAUGAAACUGAAGGAGUGGAUGUACAUAUUGAAAGAAUAUUGGCACUCCUAUAUACCUGGCUGGUUGGAUAGCACGUAAAUCUGUCCGUCUAUACAUAGGUCAUCCUGAUCGCUAUCAUUACCUAGCUAUACUUGGUGAGACACCACCAGAGACACUGUCAUUAGAGACACAGUCUGGACAUACUCACUGCACCUUCUUUGAUGAAGAGGGUCAGGUUACUGAUGAUGUAUUAACAAGAGAAGAGGGUGGAGGAACGGAAAAUGAAGUUAAAUUACUUAUUGAAGAAGAAGAGGCUAAUGAAAUGACACUAGAACAGGAUUAAUUCAUUGAUAUUAGAUAAUAGUAAUAAAGUAAUAAUUACUUUAUACCAUACCUAUUGUAUAUAGUUGUAAUUGAUAAAUGAGAUUGCCUGAUUUCAGGUAAAUUUA